CGCUUGGGGGAUCGCCGUCCGCCAGCGCAGAUGCGCCCGCGGGCGCGAUCGGUG
rnacentral:sRNA from 1 species